AUGCGAUAAGUAAUGUGAAUUGCAGAAUUCAGUGAAUCAUCGAAUCUUUGAACGCACAUUGCGCCCGCCAGUAUUCUGGCGGGCAUGCCUGUUCGAGCGUCAUUUCAACCAUCAAGCCCCCGGGCUUGCGUUGGGGCCCUGCGGCUGCCGCAGACCCCUAAAACCAGUGGCGGGCUCGCUGUCACACCGAGCGCAGUAGCAAUAUCUCGCUCUGGGCGUGGCGCGGGUGCUUGCCGUAAAACACACCACUUAACAAGGUUGACCUCGGAUCAGGUAGGAAUACCCGCUGAACUUAA
rnacentral:misc_RNA from 1 species